CUCUGGGAAGGCAGUAUGGUGUCUUGAUAUAGCUUGUCUGUCAAGGCCAAAUGACUUUGGUAAUGUAGUAUGAAUCACAGGCACAGGAGCAGGCUAUCAGAAUUGAGAACUGAUUGACUGGCUCGAUAUACUUUUCAGAACGUGUGUGGCAGGCCUUAACUGUGAAAACGGAUUUACUAAUCCAGUCAGGAAAUGAAGCUUCUCUAUCUCUUGGGGCAUAAGGACUUAUUUCUGUGCAUCAGAAUGAGCAUCACAAGUUACGUGUCUGUGCAGCUGCUGGUAAUGGAAAAUUAGUCAUCACAUCCCAUCAAUGCACGAAAGUGUGGAUGUUUAUCACGAUAAGAAUAUAGAACAAAAUCUGCCCCUCGUCCUUCAAAAUAAAGCAGCUGCGAUCCCUGUCUGUCCAAAAAAAGUGGCAUCUGAGAAACAGCAAAUGUAUCUUGUCAGGAUAGCAUGAACAGAGAUAUGACAUUGCCCAAGGCUCCUCUGGAUAAAGGACCCAGCUACUUAUGGUAUUGCUUCUUAUAUUAUGUGUUCAAAUUUGCACUAAAUGGCAGUGAAUCUUUCCCACUUUCAAUCGCACUCUCUGCAGUGUUCUGUAGUUUAUAGUCGCAUGAGGGGAAAAAUAAGAUUUCAAACACUAAUCUCUGAGACAGGACAUUCUGUUUGAAGAUUGAAAAUGACCUCUGAUUUCAAAUCAAUUUCUUCAGAUAGUUUUUAGUUUUACUUUGAAUCCAAAAAUUCUAUUCCUUUUUAAAAUAUUGAACAAAAUAUGAGUUGCCAGAGAUUUGAAGUAAGGCAGAAAUUGCUGGGAAAAUUCAGCAGAUUAUUCAGCAUCCAUGAAAAAAGAAAUGGCUGGAAUACUGUUUUGAGAGCUGGGAAAGAAUGUGUUAAGGAGUCAGUGGCAGUUCUAUGCCCUGUCAGUGUGUUGCAGAUUUCCCUGGCUACACCCAGGAGUGCCUCAGUAAAGAACAGAAAGGCCUUUGGACAUGGCUGUAACAAAACCUUUUCUAUGCUCAUGAACAUACCAUUGAGUUCAAGGUUCUUCUAUAACGAGUUGAGAGGUUUUAUA